rnacentral:rRNA from 1 species
CCUACGGGGGGCAGCAGUGGGGAAUAUUGCGCAAUGGGCGAAAGCCUGACGCAGCGACGCCGCGUGAGGGAUGAAGGUCUUCGGAUCGUAAACCUCUGUCAGCAGGGAAGAACGGUCACUGUGCUAAUCAGCAGUGAAUUGACGGUACCUGCAAAGGAAGCACCGGCUAACUCCGUGCCAGCAGCCGCGGUAAUACGGAGGGUGCGAGCGUUAAUCGGAAUUACUGGGCGUAAAGCGCUCGUAGGCGGUAUGUCAAGUCAAGGGUGAAAUCCCCGCGCUCAACGUGGGAACUGCCUUUGAAACUGGCAAACUGGAGUGUGUGAGAGGAUGGUGGAAUUCCAGGUGUAGGAGUGAAAUGCGUAGAUAUCUGGAGGAACAUCAGUGGCGAAGGCGACUAUCUGGCACAUAACUGACGCUGAGGAGCGAAAGCGUGGGUAGCAAACAGGAUUAGAUACCCUUGUAGUC